rnacentral:lncRNA from 1 species
UCCACUCACUCCUCCUCCGCCUCCAGCGCCACCUCGUAUCUCCUCAUUCCCGACAUGUCCUGGGCUCCGAACGUCUCCUGGGGAGCGGCAUGAUUGAAUCAGGGAUUCCCUAGCCCCAGGUCCCCUUCUCCGUCAUUCUCAGGACGAGGCUGCCCAGUUCUCAGGUUGUUGUGGUGGUAUUACUACUACUCAGCAAGAUUCUGGUUUUACUUCUCAUCUUGGGAGUUACCAUCAAGACGUUAGGUAUGGCUGUGUGACCCACUUUGGCCAAUGAAAUGUGAACAGAAAUGGCAUAUGUCACUUGUGGACAAAAACAUUUAAGCAAGAAUUUCCCUUGCUGUCUUCCUUGACUGGAGCGACCAUGGAAGCCUGUGUUGAGAUGAAGAGGCUGCCAACAGAUCAAAACACUUGAAAACUUGAGCAGCCACAUGGACUACAACUGUGCUGGAGACUUGCCUGGACCCACAGCAGGCUUGGUAUGCAUGGGGAAUAGAAUUUUGUUGUAUUACA